ACCUACGGGGCGCAGCAGUGAGGAAUAUUGGUCAAUGGGCGGGAGCCUGAACCAGCCAAGUCGCGUGAGGGAAGACGGUCCUACGGGUUGUAAACCUCUUUUGCCGGGGAGCAACGGGGUCCUUGCGAGGGCCCGAUGAGAGUACCCGGAGAAAAAGCAUCGGCUAACUCCGUGCCAGCAGCCGCGGUAAUACGGAGGAUGCGCGCGUUAUCCGGAUUUAUUGGGUUUAAAGGGUGCGUAGGCGGGCUGUUAAGUCAGCGGUCAAAUGUCGGGGCUCAACCCCGGCCUGCCGUUGAAACUGGCGG
rnacentral:rRNA from 1 species